rnacentral:misc_RNA from 1 species
GAUGAAGAACGUAGCGAAAUCCGAUAAGUAAUGUGAAUUGCAGAAUUCAGUGAAUCAUCGAAUCUUUGAACGCACAUUGCGCCCCCUGGUAUUCCGGGGGGCAUGCCUGUCCGAGCGUCAUUACAACCCUCAAGCUCAGCUUGGUGUUGGGCCCCGCCGCCCCGGCGGGCCCUAAAGUCAGUGGCGGUGCCGUCCGGCUCCGAGCGUAGUAAUUCUUCUCGCUCUGGAGGUCCGGUCGUGUGCUUGCCAGCAACCCCCAAUUUUUUUCAGGUUGACCUCGGAUCAGGUAGGGAUAUCCGCUGAACUUAAGCAUAUCAAUAAGCGGAGGA